GAUGAACGCUGGCGGCGUGCCUAAUACAUGCAAGUCGAGCGAACAGACGAGGAGCUUGCUCCUCUGACGUUAGCGGCGGACGGGUGAGUAACACGUGGAUAACCUACCUAUAAGACUGGGAUAACUUCGGGAAACCGGAGCUAAUACCGGAUAAUAUAUUGAACCGCAUUGUUCAAUAGUUAAAGACGGUUUUGCUGUCACUUAUAGAUGGGUCCGCGCCGCAUUAGCGAGUUGGUAAGGUAAUGGCUUACCAAGGCGGCGAUGCGUAGCCGGCCUGAGAGGAGGAGAAGGCACAAUGGAAGUGAGAGACGGCCCGGACUCCUAGGAGAGGGCGCAGUGGGGAAUGGUGUAAAAUGGAGGAAGGGAUGAACAAGUAAUGCAGUGAGAGUGAUGUAGGGCUAAGGGAUGAAAAACGCUUUUAAACGGGAUGAUAAUGACAGAACCGGAAGAAUAAGCUACGGCUAACUACGUG
rnacentral:rRNA from 1 species